AACGAACGCUGGCGGCAUGCCUAACACAUGCAAGUCGAACGAGACCUUCGGAUCUACUUGCGCUCGCGUGCGUAACGCGUCGGAACCUGCCCUUAUGUUCGGAAUAACACCCCUUCAGGGGUGCUAAUACCGGGUAAUUUAUUCGGACCAAAGAUUUGACCCCCUUGGGUGAGCCCGCGUUGUUUUAACUUGUUGGUAGGGUAAAAGCCUACCAAGGAGAGGAUACAUAGCUGGGUUGAGAGGAAGGUCAGCCACACUGGGAAUGGGGCACGGCGCAGAAUCUUACGGGAGGCAGCAGUGCGGAAUAUUGGAAUAUGGGGGAGAGGCUGAACGAGCAAUGCUGGGAGAGUGAUGAAGGCGGUAAAGUUGUACAGCUGGUUUACCCGGGAUGAUAAUGACGGUACCGGGAGAAUAAGCACCGGCUAACUCCGUG
rnacentral:rRNA from 1 species